ensembl:lncRNA
AGUGUUUGCUAAGCGAACGUGUUGCUAUUUAUGAAUAAGCUAACGCUAGCUAACAACAGCGCAACUUGACGUUAGCUAUUCACGACAGAAUAUAAACCAACCUUAUCCUGGCUCCCAUCUGACGCCGGUGUUUCAUUCUUUGUGGUGAUCUUAUCUGGCUCCUGUCUAGGCCUCAUUGGUGAUGGCCCCAUUCGCUGUCCGUGAUAAGGGUUUCCCCUCACUCCCUGGUGUGGGGAACCGACUUGGGGCUUGGUUGUGGAGGCGGCUUCUGCCCGUUAGUAUUUCCUACCGGGGAUUUCAGCGGAAGGUUCUGCUCCUUAAUCGGCUGGUUAGGUGGGGGGGGAGGCCACGGUGGCUUUUGGAGGGGGAGACUGGAUCUUUGGUUGAGGCGUAGGGGUUGUCGGUUUCGGCUGCGGCUGUUCUGGGACAGUUGUCGGUUUCUCCUGCUGUUGCUGCAUCGGGCCUUUCAUGGUGAGAGCCGGACCAGGACUUGGUGGAGGGAUAAGCGACUGGUUAGGUUGUGGCUUCUGGGGAGUCUGUGGUCCUUGAUUAAGCGGUCUGUUGAAGUUGUUGUUCUGUCCCCUUCGAAUUUGGUUCUGAUUGUGGAAAGGAUGGCUCCUGAAAUUGGGGUUUCCCAUUAGACCACCCCGCAUCGGCCCGCCGGGCCCAAUGCCCCCUCUGCGUUGCUGGAAAUUAUUCAUUCCGAGGCCACCGCGAUUAUUGUUGAAUCGAGACAUUGAUCCUUUUAUAGGCAAAAAAUACAAUUAAAAUGCUAUGAAAUGCUGCUGCGCAACAACGGUCUUGUCCCGGUGAUGGCAGGUUGAGCUCUUCAAAAUGGCGACUAACGCUUGUGUCUGAAAGAGUCUUUCUUCCUCCGGUAAAGUCAGCUCCGCCCCGACGCGCCGAUUGGUCAGCUGCUCAGAGGGAGGAGUCACUAGGGCCGUUCAGUCUUUUGAAGGGUCCUGUGUGUUGUGUCCUAAAAACAAUCAGAUAAACUUGUUGGCAAAAACAUAAUAUGGGUGUACAUUUUAUUUCAGUGCAUACACAUUAUUGAUCCCAACCUGUUUUUAAUAACAAAAAAACUACAUAAUGAAGUUUUCGUCUGUAUUAAGACAUGUUAUUGUGCAAGUUUAUUUACACUGCUCUCUUUCACCUGUAUCUCAACAGUAAUUCAGCUAAAUACAGCAUUUUUCAUUAAGCAUUCAAAUUAAUUUUGAACAGUUCAUUGGAAAUGUGAUAUUUCUUCCACAAUGCCUCUUAUUUUUUUUCAAACCUCAUUGUUCAUUGAGGACAAAACGCCUCGCAGUAAUCAUUGUCCAUCAUUACACCUUGUCAAACUCGUACUCAAUUGGAGAUCCAAUGGUGGCUGGCCAAAAAAUAUGUAAAAAAAAGAUUACACCAGCCGCCACUGUGUAGAUCUUUCACUAAUCUGAGUUUAGAUUUACCAUUUUAUCUCUUCAACCUUUGCUAACAUUUCGUAUACACGUUGAUUUAUGUAGCUGCAUUAAUAUGCUAAUUGCAUGCAGACCGUAAGCCAGUCUUUGAAGGUAAGAUUAUACGUACAUUUUUAAAAGGGUAAAGCACAUUUGGGCUUUGGAUGCUAGUCACAAAUAUCUCAUAUCUUUGGGCUUCACAACAUUAGUUCCUUUUGUUAUGACUUUUUAUUUUGUCGUGUUGAAGUGGCACAUAAGAACAAAUAAUAUUUAACAUUAACACAUGGAUUUGAGGCUUUUGUGAUUUCUCAAACAAGGACUUGUUCCAACAUUUUUGAAAAGGCUUAAAAUAUAUUUUAUUUUAUCCAGGAGAGAACAUUUAUGUUUAGGUUUGGAUUUCUCAUAUUGCUGUUACCCUUUUUUUUUUACCAAAUGAAAGACGCUCAACUCACAUGGACUUUUAUUUAUUUUUAUUUAUUCCGCAUAGAGGUGUUUUGGAAACAAACAGAAAACAAAAAAGUGGAGAGACCACCACGUCUCCCCUAAACAUUUUUUUUAAUGCUUAUAGACAAAAAAAAGGAUGAGAUGACAACAGUGACAAAACACAACAAUACAUCAGUCCAGUAAACAAAACCCACAUUUGUAAAAAGCGUAACCAUGACAACAUACAACCCAGGAGAAAACACAAGACACUGUGACGUCGCCACGCAGACGGUAAAUGUUGGAAUAGUAAAAGAAAAUGACAAAGGUGUCAAAAAUAAAAUAAAGAAGUAGGGCUGCAUCAGACAUGUGAUCAGAAAACACAAAAGGACUUGAGGAAGUACGAGAGACAUUCAUCAAUUUGUCCAGAAACAAUCAAAACUGAUGUCUUUCCUCCUUUCUUAUCUCUUGAGAACAGCAAUACAGAACAAAUAAUCAUGGAGCAAAAUUAACAUUCACAAAGGAAGAUGAAGAACACCUGAUAUAUGUUUUUUUUAAGCACACAUGAAUCAGUAGAGUUAUACUCCUUAUCUAAAGGAUCACACGCUGCAAAAGAUUAACCUUUUUUUAAUUGUAAAAUCACCCACUAGUUAUGUUGGAGCAGCUUCUUGCCAAAGCCCUCCAAGUGUAUAGCCAUUUUAUUUUUAAGUAGUGAACUACUAUAGCACUGGGUCUCACUUUGAAUUGGACAUUUCUUCUUCUAUCAGUGGGUUACAGUAUGCAAUUAGUAUUUAUUUCUGUGGGAAAUAACCGGUCUGAAGUUUAAAACUCAGCGCCUCCAUGGUGUUGAGGAAGGAGACAGAAGAAGCAGGUUUUAACCCACAGUUUUAAAACAAAAACAUUGAAAAUGCACUGAGCCUAAUGGAAGGGGGG